rnacentral:tRNA from 1 species
AUUCUUUUAGUAUAAUAAGUACAAUUGACUUCCAAUCAAUAAGAUUUGGUAAAUAACCGAAAAAGAAUA